GUCCCUGUGCGGCUCAGUGGUUAGAGUGUUUGACUAGGACCCUGGAAGACCAGGGUUUAAAUCCCCAUGCUGGAAUG